UGAAGAGUAAAAUUACGUUCGUUAAGUGUUGGCUGAACGGGGAGUUGUCAGUCAAACGAAAAGCCGUGGAGAGACCUCGGCUUGCGGUUCGUAUUUUGCAUCCCGCUUCA
rnacentral:ncRNA from 2 species